UGUGGUCAAUGGAACCUCUUCGUGUUGGGGAACUUGUUUGAGUCGGGGAACCGGCUUUCCUGGGGAUUCCUUUCUCCCCCUCUGCUUCUCCAGGGACUCCCUUCUUGGGCGUGCUUUCAAGAGGGUGUUUGUGUUUUCUUUUGUUAGCUAUUCGUUGUAUUUUUGUUUUGACAGAGGUGGGACACUUUCGAUGAGGGAGAAGGGAGGGUACAUCGUCCAGAUGGUUUCCUCAGUGGGUUGUGGCAGAUGGGUCACCAGCAUCCUCCUCUCUAUGGCCCCACAGGUCUCCAUAAUGCACUGCAACACUGUCUGGAAUCCAAGACGAUAGAUAUUGAUUUGUGCAAAACCAGAUGGAAGUCCCUCCGUGCCACUUUUGUAAAGCACCUACGGAAGGCCCAACCCAACAGUUCUGGGGGAACCAAUCAGAAAGAAUUGAAAUACAUGAAAAUAUUAUCAUUCUUGCUUCCAGCCAAGAAGUCCUCCUGGUUCUGACCCUUGCCUGUCCUGACUCUGAG